GCUGGGUGCAGUGGUGUAUGCCUGUAAUUCCAGAGGCUCAGGAGGCUGAGGCAGGAGGAUCGCAAGUUCAAAGCCAGCCUCAGCAACAUCGAGAUACUAAGCAACUCAGUGGGAUCCUGUCUCUA
rnacentral:sRNA from 1 species